UACGAAUGGAGCGAGCGUUGUUCGGAAUCACUGGGCGUAAAGCGUGCGCAGGCGGUCGUGAAAGUUAGAAGUGAAAGCCCAGGGCUCAACCUUGGAAUUGCUUUUAAAACUCCACGACUAGAGUACUGGAGGGGUUGGCGGAAUUUCGAGUGUAGCAGUGAAAUGCGUAGAUAUUCGAAGGAACACCGAUGGCGUAGGCAGCCAACUGGACAGUUACUGACGCUCAGGCACGAAAGUAUGGGGAGCAAACAGG
rnacentral:rRNA from 1 species